GGUGAACGCUGGCGGCGUGCUUAACACAUGCAAGUCGAACGCUGAAGCCCUUUCGGGGGUGGAUGAGUGGCGAACGGGUGAGUAACACGGGGGUAGUCUGCCCUGUACUUCGGGAUAAGCCUUGGAAACGGGGUCUAAUACCGGAUAGGACCUGUCCUCGCAUGGGGGUGGGUGGAAAGUUCCGGCGGUAUGGGAUGAGCCCGCGGCCUAUCAGCUUGUUGGGGGGGUGAUGGCCUACCAAGGCGCCGACGGAUAGCCGGCCUGAGAGGGUGACCGGUCACACUGGGACUGGCACACGGCCCAUACUGCUACGGGAGGCAGCAGUGGGGAAUCUUGCGCAAUGGGCGAAAGCCUGACGCAGCAACGCCGCGUGGGGGAUGACGGCCUUCGGGUUGUAAACCUCUUUCGGUAUCGACGAAGGGGUCCUUGUUGGGGCUCUUACGGUAGGUGCAGAAGAAGCACCGGCUAACUACGUGCCAGCAGCCGCGGUAA
rnacentral:rRNA from 1 species